AUUGAACGCUGGCGGCAUGCUUUACACAUGCAAGUCGAACGGUAACAGGCCUUCGGGUGCUGACGAGUGGCGAACGGGUGAGUAAUGCAUCGGAACGUGCCCAAUCGUGGGGGAUAACGUAGCGAAAGUUACGCUAAUACCGCAUAAGCCCUGAGGGGGAAAGCAGGGGAUCGCAAGACCUCGCGCGAAUGGAGCGGCCGAUGUCAGAUUAGCUAGUUGGUGGGGUAAAGGCCUACCAAGGCGACGAUCUGUGCGGGUCUGAGAGGAUGAUCCGCCACACUGGGACUGAGACACGGCCCAGACUCCUACGGGAGGCAGCAGUGGGGAAUAUUGGACAAUGGGCGCAAGCCUGAUCCAGCCAUGCCGCGUGAGUGAAGAAGG
rnacentral:rRNA from 1 species